rnacentral:rRNA from 1 species
AUGCUUCUCCUAAAGACUAAGCCAUGCAUGCCUUCGAAUAAGAGGAAGCAAUUCUCUCUGAAUCUGCGAACGGCUCCGCAAACCAGUUGUAAACUAUAGCAAGCAAGCUCAGGGUCGGCUCUCGCGGGCUGGUUCUGGGCGAUAUGGAUAACCCUGGUAAUUCUGAGGCUAAUACAUGACCGCAAAACUUGGAGGACUGGCCUCGGCUGGGAAUCCGGGGGAUGUGCGAUUUAAGCUUGGUAUUUCUGGGAAGGGGCGCACGUUCAGACCACACUAAAAAGGUCGGGUCCCUUCGGGGGCCUGUCCCAGUGGCUCUUGCUGUGUGCUUCUGACCUAUCAACUAGACGGCAGCGUAACGGACAUGCUUUGGUGACAACGGGUACAGAGGAUUAGGGUUCGAUCCUGGAGAGUGGGCCUGAGAGAUUGCUCAUACUUCUAAGGAAGGCAGCAGGCGCGCAACGUUCCCCUUGGGCAAUGCCCGAGGGCGUUAGGGGACAUAUGAA